CCGGGCUGGGGUAGUGGUAUCCUAUCACCUUGUGGUGGUGAUGACGUGGGUUCAAUUCCCGCGCCUGGA
rnacentral:tRNA from 4 species